AUACUACCACCCUUUUUAUAAAAAUUUCGAUUCCAAUGGGUCCAAACUAUACUUUUAUCAGAAUAUAGUCCAUUUAUAAGAAUAUUUAAUUAUUAACUUCCUUUCAACUCAUUUGACAAUACGGGGGAUCGGCCACGUAAAGUCCUCCGUCCCGAGCACCGAACAUAAGUCCCAUCGGCAACGGAUCGUCCCAAGCACCGGAUAUAAGUCCCAUUGGUGAUGGAUAGUCGUAAGCACCGGACAUAAAUCCCAU
rnacentral:lncRNA from 1 species